rnacentral:rRNA from 1 species
GAUGAACGCUGGCGACGUGCCUAAUACAUGCAAGUCGAGCGAACGGACGAGAAGCUUGCUUCUCUGAUGUUAGCGGCGGACGGGUGAGUAACACGUGGAUAACCUACCUAUAAGACUGGGAUAACUUCGGGAAACCGGAGCUAAUACCGGAUGAUAUUUUGAACCGCAUGGUUCAAAAGUGAAAGACGGUCUUGCUGUCACUUAUAGAUGGAUCCGCGCUGCAUUAGCUAGUUGGUAAGGUAACGGCUUACCAAGGCAACGAUGCAUAGCCGACCUGAGAGGGUGAUCGGCCACACUGGAACUGAGACACGGUCCAGACUCCUACGGGAGGCAGCAGUAGGGAAUCUUCCGCAAUGGGCGAAAGCCUGACGGAGCAACGCCGCGUGAGUGAUGAAGGUCUUCGGAUCGUAAAACUCUGUUAUUAGGGAAGAACAUAUGUGUAAGUAACUGUGCACAUCUUGACGGUACCUAAUCAGAAAGCCACGGCUAACUACGUG